UUUUUAUUUCCUCUUCUAUCGGACUUUUGCUGAUGAGGUAUCACUCCGCCAGAAAGUAAAGACCUGUGUUUGUGUUUCAUGUUUCCAACAAAGGGCACAGAGGACAAAGCUGUGAGCUUUCUGAACUGCAGAGGCAAGAGUGUAUGCUCCCAGUCAUCCACAUCACCAGCUGACUUCUCCAGCUCUUAACAGUGUCUCUGCAAAUGCAAAUAAAUGACGCCUUAUCUGCAUCUUU